AUUGAACGCUGGCGGAAUGCUUUACACAUGCAAGUCGAACGGCAGCACGGACUUCGGUCUGGUGGCGAGUGGCGAACGGGUGAGUAAUGUAUCGGAACGUGCCCAGUCGUGGGGGAUAACGUAGUGAAAAUUACGCUAAUACCGCAUACGAUCUAUGGAUGAAAGCGGGGGAUCGCAAGACCUCGCGCGAUUGGAGCGGCCGAUAUCAGAUUAGGUAGUUGGGGGGGUAAAGGCCCACCAAGCCAACGAUCUGUAGCUGGUCUGAGAGGACGACCAGCCACACUGGAACGGAGAGACGGUCCAGACUCCGACGGGAGGCAGCAGUGGGGAAUUUUGGACAAUGGGCGCAAGCCUGAUCCAGCCAUGCCGCGUGCGGGAAGAAGGCCUUCGGGUUGUAAACCGCUUUUGUCAGGGAAGAAAAGACUCCUGUUAAUACCGGGGGUUCAUGACGGUACCUGAAGAAUAAGCACCGGCUAACUACGUGCCAGCAGCCGCCGUAA
rnacentral:rRNA from 1 species